UACAGAGGUCUCAAGCGUUGUUCGGAUUCAUUGGGCGUAAAGGGUGCGUAGGCGGCGCGGUAAGUCGGGGUGUGAAAUCUCGGGGCUUAACUCCGAAACUGCAUUCGAUACUACCGUGCUUGAGGACUGGAGAGGAGACUGGAAUUUACGGUGUAGCGGUGAAAUGCGUAGAUAUCGUAAGGAAGACCAGUGGCGAAGGCGGGUCUCUGGACGAGUUC
rnacentral:rRNA from 1 species